rnacentral:lncRNA from 10 species
GUUUCAACGAGCUAUUAAGUGUGUAUGUGGGGGGCAAGUGGAAUUGCUGCUGAAUGCAUAAAUUGAUUUGCACCUACAAUUUGCAUUUAUUCUGUGGGUAUAUUUGCCACUAAUGUUGUGACUGAACUGCCAUAAUGAAGAUUAAUUAUAUAAACAUUUUUUGCUGACUUUGUGAGCAGCUGAGCAUGGUGGCAGGCACCUGUAAUCCCAGCAAUUUGGGAGGCUGAGGCAGAAGAACUGCUUGAACC